GCUGCUGCCAGUGUCUGUGCUGCUCUAGUGGGGCCAGGACUUUGCGUCCCACUGCAGACGGGCUGCAUGAGGACAGGGCUCAGCCCGGAGCUACGGGGGUGGCGGGCAGAUUGCCUGUGAACCCGGCUGCCCCCACUGCUGUCACUGCUGCUGUUCCCAGGCUCCUCCACACCCCAGCUGGAGCAGGACUUGAGUUCUCCUUGUGCCCAGGACAGCUGGGCCAGCAGCAAUGCUGGCAGUGGUAGGUAGGGGCGGGGACAGGGCAGGGGACGUGCUUCUAAGCAUGGAGAGGAAGAGCUGAGGAAAAGUCCCCAGAUGUUACCCCUGCCAUGUGAUCCAGAGGGGGCACCACUCCACCCCCUCUGGAUCUGCCCUCAAUAAUACCUACUUGUAAUUUAAGGUUAAAAACAUGCCUGGGGACACGCGUAGAAGACAUGCGGUCUUCGUUCUUAGAGACAGCGUGCCCCGCUUGGAGUGGGCUUUCACCCUAGUUGCUGGACCCGUUGAGUGAAAACACCACAAACUCAAACCAAAAGGUAGGAGGAAGGAAGCAUAUGAAUAAUCCAGCCCUAUUAACACCUGGGAUAGUUGGUAGUAAAUCAUUCCCUGAUUGCGGUACAGCGUUUCGUAGUGUAGCCUUGUUUUUACUGCUACUGGUUCAUUCAGGAGGCAAGGUCAGCAGAAGAUCUGGAGAUCGACGCCUCCAGCUUCCUCAUGCCUUACGCCCGUAGGAAUGAUUCACAUCAAAGCCGGCCGAAUGAAACACCAGCUCCUGAAGAAAUUCCCAGAAGGAGGGCCAUGGAGCUGACAGAAAGACAACCAAGUAAGGUAUAAGACACUCCUUGGGUCUCUUGAGUAUGCACUUCUCCUAUUAACAGUGCUAUCUCUUUCCAACCCACUCGCUGUAACUAUAAGUUUUGAAGAAUCACAGUACUGAUGAGGAGACUUUAUAGUAUCAUAGUGUUUAGGGUCAGAAGGGACCUAAACAGAUCAUCAGGUCUGACCCCCCCGCCCCAGCCAGGAAUGGGUGCCGGGGUCAUAUCACCCCAGCCAAAUAUCUGUCCAGCCUCCUCUUGAAGACCCCCAAGGUAGGGGAGAGCACCACCUCCCUUGGGAGCCCAUUCCAGAGCCUGGCAGCCCUAAGUGUAAAGUAAUGCCUCCUGAUAUCAAGCCUGACCCUACUCUCAAUCAAAUUGUGGCUGUUAUUCCUUGUUAUCCCAGGUGGUGCCCAGGGGAACAGAGCCUCCCCCAGUUCCUGCUGGUUCCUCCUGGUGAGUUUGUAAAUGGCCACCAGAUCCCCUCUCAGCCUUCUCUUGUGGAGGCUGAACAGGUUCAGGCCCUUUAGCCUCUUCGUAGGGCCUGGUCUGCUGCCCCUUGACCAUGUGAGUGGCCCUCCUCUGGACCCUCUCAAUGCUAGCCACAUCCCUCCUGAAGUGCGGCGCCCAGAACUGGACACAGUGCUCCAACUGCAGCCUGACCAGCACCGCGUAGAGGGGAAGGAUCACCUCCCUGGACCUGCUUGUGAUGCAUCUGUAGAUGCAUGACAAGGUGCAGUUAGCCUUACUGACUGCUUCCUCACAUUGGCGUCUCAUGUCCAUCCUGGAGUCAACAGUGACUCCAAGAUCCCUUUCAGCCACGGUGUUGAUGAGAAGGGUGUUCCCCAGCCUACAGGUGCGCUGCUGGUUCCUUCUCCCUAGAUGCAGCACCUUGCACUUGUCUGUGUUGAAUCCCAUCCUAUUCUCAUCUGCCCACCUCUGUAACCUGUCUAGAUCUAGUUGGAUUCUGUCCCUCCCCUCCAGUGUGCCCACUUCUCCCCACAUCUUGGUGUCAUCGGUGAAUUUGGACAGCGUGCGUUCCACACCCACAUCCAGAUAGCUGAUAAAAAUGUUGAACAGUGCAGGCCCCAGGACCAAGCCCUGGGGGACUCCACUGCCCACUUUCCUCCAGGUCAAAAACGACCCGUCCACCACCACUCUCUGGGUGUGACCAUCAACCCAAUUUGCCACCCACCUGACUGUGUAGGCAUCAAUGCCACAGUCCCUAAGCUUUUUAAAGAGAAUGUGGUGGGAAACUGUGUCAAAGGCCUUCUUCCAGUCCAGGAAGACGACGUCUACCUCAAUGCCCUUGUCCAGGGACUUUGUGACCUGAGCAUAAAAAGAAACCAGGUUAGGCAGGCAGGACCAGCCCUCAAUGAACCCAUGUUUUUUGCCCCUGAGCAUUACCUCCCCUGCUGGGCCCUUGCAGAUGUGCUCCUUGAUAAUUUUCUCAAAGGUCUUCCCAAGGACCAAGGUGAGACUAACUGGCCUAUAAUUGCCGGGGUCCUCCUUUCUCCCCAUCUUGUAAAUGGGGACCACGUUGGCCCUUUUCCAAUCCUCUGGUACCUGGCCAGAGCCCCAUGAGGGCUCAUAAAGCCAUGCCAGGGGCCCCGCUAUGACCCCUGCCAAUUCCCUCAGCACCCUCGGGUGAAGAGCAUCUGGACCUACUGAUUUAAACACGUCCAGCCCCUCCAAAAGUUCCCUAACUAGAUCAUCCCUGACCCUAGGCACGGUGGUGCCUACCUUGGGUCCAACCACAAUUCUAGUUUGCUUGUUUGCUUAGUCUACAAAGAUUUUAAAAAAUCCAAUGGAAACGCCUAUGCAACCACCACGGUGCAGAGCAGGCUGCCUCCCACAACUGGUCUUCGAAUACGCAUUGCAAUAUGGAUCCCAGAGCUGCCAUUCAGCCGGGCAUCUUCCAUUUUGUACUGGUAUUUUUGGUGAUUUGUUCCAGGGUGCAGCACCUUACAUUUAUCAGCAUCUGCCUUCAUCAGCCACUGAUGCAAAUCCAGACUUAACCACCGCAGCGGUGUGGGAAGUAUUAGCAAUCUCUGACAUUGAAACCUCGUGUCAUUUUUCUGAAAAUGAUCAGUAGUUUAAAUCAGGAGAUAGUAUGUAUGUAUGUAGGAUUUUUCUGGGUGAUAUCUUUUGCUUCAUGGUUGGAAUAGUUUUAAACAAGCUUUUGAAUACAGGGCAUUUUUCUUCGGAUCUUUUUUAUUAGCUUUAAGAAAAAUAACAAAUACUAGAGCCCUUAAGUUAGGGGCAAAUCACCUCAUACUUGUUCCUAGUUUCGACCCAGCAUUUCCCAGAAGCUGCAGGUAUAUACACGGCACGGCCCUGUGAAUCAAAGGUCAUACAUGAAGCUGUGUGUACUACAGAGAUCCAGCCCCGCAGUAAUAAGGAUCUCCUCCACUUCUCAUUUUGCCGAAGUCUUCCCUCCCUUGGGGCCUUGACCUUGUGAACUCUCUGUUUUAAAAGUGCUAUCAGUUUUAAAAGUGCUUUAGAUUUCCACGCUCAUAUUUCAUGUGGAGUUCACUUAUUUAUUGAAUGAGAAAGCCACUUUAUUCCUUCCCAUGAGUUAUUAGCAUUUACGUCUACAGCAAAAGCAUAUGGGGAGAGCGAGCGCGUGGAAACGUGCCGCGUGUUCUAGCGUGGCUGUUCUUCUUCUUGGCAAAUUCGGGCCGUUGAUAUUGACACCGCUCGCCCCAAUUUUUCCUGAUACUUAUUCCAUCAAGCGGUAACCUCCAUGAGAAGAGAAGGAGCAGAUUGCCCUGCAAAGCUGAGCGCCCAGGUGCUGUUUGCUCUCAAAACCAGAGACUGAUUUUUGCAGCUUGGCAGCGGUUGAAAACUGUGCCUGGGACCAUACGAGGGGGUGAACGGAGCAGUCAAACGGAAGGUCUUUAGCACUCGCAGCCUGCAGCACACAGCUUGGAAAACCUCCUGGAGGCCUGGCUUCUGUUUGUGAGUGUGCGUCUCCAAGUGAACGACAGCCCCAGACAUGAGUCACUUGCAUCUCGAACAAAAGACAGGGAUUCAGAGCCCGUCGCCUUCCGAGGCUUUAUCACCCCGUUGUUUCCUGACUUGCUUGAGCUGAACAAGGUCAUGCAAAGCCCCCAGCUGAACAAACACACAGCACUAGAGGCAAGAGAAGGUCUAUUUUGCGUGGGCCCCGGAGGAAUUAAGAACAAAAUCUCAAGGGAAAAGUUUGAAGUACAAUUACUCCGCUCCCCACUUACAAUGGAAACACGACACAGGUUGUUGGGUUUUUUUAAUGGCUUGUGCAUGUGUUCACAUCCUUCAGAUUGUAAUGAUUUUUGUCUUUACAUGCAGAAGAGGUUAACUGCUGUUCAAUCUUGCGUUAGCCCGCAGUAACCUUGGCAUUUAAAAGAAAAUAAUAGCUUCCAACAGCUUUUGUGAUGGUUCAUCCAUUAGGAGGGAAUGAAGGGCUUCAGCCUGUAAAAUACUUCAUCUACUCUGUG